rnacentral:rRNA from 1 species
AACGUAGGUGGCAAGCGUUAUCCGGAUUUACUGGGCGUAAAGCGUGUGCAGGCGGGGGUACAAGUGGUGUAUGAAAUUUCCCAGCUUAACUGGGAAGGGUUAUGCCAGACUGUACUUCUGGAGUGCGAGAGAGGGGCGUGGAAUUCCGGGUGUAGUGGUGAAAUGCGUAGAGAUCCGGAGGAACACCAGUGGCGAAGGCGACACGCUGGGCCGUACCUGACACUGAUGCGCGACAGCAUGGGAGCAAACAGG